UUUUGGACCCUCUGAAUGUUAAAUUUCGUUGUUAGCUCUGUUAGCUCCACUGUUAGCGCCGUUGCUAAGAUACGGCUGUGUCAAAUGAGAUAAUCAUCGCUGUAGCAGAAGCACCGUGUCCGGCCCUUUUAUUAAAAUUCUCCCCUUCUUCAGGUAUGAGUAUAUACAUAUACACACACCUGUAGAUUGUACAUUUAUUUCUUAACUUUCAGAAAGAUUGUGAGUUUUUUUUUGGACGCUCUGGAUGUUAAAUUUCGCUGUUAGCUCUGUUAGCUCCACUGUUAGCACAGUUGCUAAGCUACUGCUGUGUCAACGUUGAUAUCGUUGUGUAUGUUUGUAAGUUAACGAGAUAAUAAUAAUAAUCGCUGGAGCAGAAGCACCGUGUCCGGCUCUUUUAUUAAAAUUCUCCCCUUCUUCAGGGCUUUUACAGUGGCAGCAGCAUGAUGUGGGAAUAUUCCUGUUCAUGAAGGACUGGUCAGAUUUCAUGGAACUAAACGUAAAUGUCUCACCUCCACCUUCUCCGCACACACUGGGAAAGCCGGAUCUGUCGGCACCUCGCACGUCUCAUCAGGUCCUGCAGGAGAGACGGGAACAAAAGCAGCAUUGUGCUAAAUAACUGUAGCUUUGAUAAACAACGUCCUGAACGAG